rnacentral:rRNA from 1 species
CUAACUGACUUGAUAGUAUGGGCAACUAUACUAUUCUUGAAACUUUAACAAAAAAACUAUAAAUCAAUUUAUGGUUGAUAAAAACUUAAAUUUUCAACGAUGGAUGUCUUGGCUCCCAUAUCGAUGAAGAACGCAGCUAGAAUGCGAUAUGCAAUGUGAAUUGCAGAACCACGAAUCAUCGGAUCUUUGAACGCGACUGGCGCUGCCUUUAAAAGCAGCAUACUUGUUUCAGUGUGCGCAAACAAAUCAAAAAUAAAAAUGUGAGAGAAGUUCUCUCAUGAAAUAAAUGCUCCCUGCAGCAGUCAGAUUUAUUUCUGAGCUGUGCGGAAGAAAAAUGACUUAUUUGCACCUGAGAUCAAGUAAGAAGACCCGCUGGACUUAAGCAUAUUACUAAGCGGAGGAGAAGAAAUUAACAAAGAUUGCCUCAGUAAGGGCGACUGAACCGGCAAGAGCUCAAAAUUAAAAUCGAGAAUUCAAUGAAUUUUCGAAUUGUAAUCAGCACUUCCUAAAUACGAGAAUUCGUUUAAUUACGUCGAAACGUAGGCCAGGGAGGGUGAAAGCCCCGUGUAGCGUUUUCUCGAGUAAGGAAAGGCGAACAAGAGUCGGGUUGCUUGGAACUGCAGCCCUAAGCGGGAGAUAUGAUUCUUCCAAAGCUAAAUAUGGAUGGGAGACCGAUAGCGAACAAGUACUGUGAAGGAAAGAUGAAAAGGACUUUGAAAAGAGAGUGAA